GUGUCGUCGUCGACGUACGUCUACGAGAGUAGUAGCUAUGGCUCAGAACGAACGCUGGCGGCAGGCCUAAGUCAUGCAAGUUGAACGGCUGUAGCAAUACAGCAGUAGCGGACGGGUGAGUAAUGUAUGGGAACGUAUCUUCUAGUGGGGAAUAUCUUUGGAAACGAAGAGCAAUACCGCAUGAGUCCUACGGGAGAAAGUCGCAAGACGCUAGAUGAGCGGCCCAUAUUGGAUUAGCUAGUUGGUUAGGUAAUGGCUGACCAAGGCAACGAUCCAUAGCUGGUCUAAGAGGACGAUCAGCCACAUUGGGACUGAGACACGGCCCAGACUCCUACGGGAGGCAGCAGUCAGGAAUAUUGGACAAUGGGGGCAACCCUGAUCCAAGCCAUGCCGCGUGAGUGUUAAGGUCUUCGGAUUGUAAAGCUCUUUUGUGUGGGAAAAUGAUGAUGGUACCACAAGAAUAAGCACCGGCUAACUUCGUGCCAGCCGCGGC
rnacentral:rRNA from 1 species